AUUGAACGCUGGCGGCAUGCCUUACACAUGCAAGUCGAACGGCAGCACGGGGGCAACCCUGGUGGCGAGUGGCGAACGGGUGAGUAAUAUAUCAGAACGUGCCAUAGAGUGGGGGAUAACUAGUCGAAAGAUUAGCUAAUACCGCAUACGAUCUACGGAUGAAAGUGGGGGAUCGCAAGACCUCAUGCUCUGUGAGCGGCCGAUAUCUGAUUAGCUAGUUGGUGGGGUAAAGGCCCACCAAGGCGACGAUCAGUAGCUGGUCUGAGAGGACGACCAGCCACACUGGGACGGAGACACGGCCCAGACUCCUACGGGAGGCAGCAGUGGGGAAUUUUGGACAAUGGGGGCAACCCUGAUCCAGCAAUGCCGCGUGUGUGAAGAAGGCCUUCGGGUUGUAAAGCACUUUUGGCGGGAACGAAACGGUUGGGGCUAAUAUCCCUUGCUAAUGACGGUACCCGCAGAAUAAGCACCGGCUAACUACGUGCCAGCCGCCGCGGUAAUAC
rnacentral:rRNA from 1 species